rnacentral:rRNA from 1 species
GGGAUAGAAUUCCAGGAGUAGCGGUGAAAUGCGUAGAUAUCUGGAGGAAUACCAAAGGCGAAGGCAGUCCCCUGGUCCGAUACUGACACUGAGGUACGAAAGCGUGGGGAGCAAACAGGAUUAGAUACCCCGGUAGUCCACGCCCUAAACGAUGUCGAUUAGCCAUUGGAAGGACCCCUUUUCCUUUCAGUGACGUAGCUAACGCGUUAAAUCGACCGCCUGGGAAGUACGACCGCAAGGUUAAAACUCAAAGGAAUUGACGGGGACCUGAACAAGCGGUGAAUGAUGUGGAUUAAUUCGAUGCUACGCGAAGAACCUUACCUACCUUUGACAUGGCCAAAGUUCUACCGAGAGGCGGAAGUACUCGUAAGAGGAUUGGCGCACAGGUGCUGCAUGGUUGUCGUCAGUUCGUGUCGUGAGAUGUUGGGUUCAGUCCCGCAACGAACGCAACCCUUAUCUUUAAUUGCUCCUAUUUUAACAGGCACUUUAAAGAAACUGCCAAUGAUAAGUUGGAGGAAGGUGGGGAUCACGUCAAGUCCGCAUGGCCUUUAUAGGUAGGGCUUCACACGUCAUACAAUGGUUAGAACAAAGAGCUGCAAAUUCGUAAGAAGGAGCCAAUCUCACAAACCUAACCUCAGUUCGAAUUGCGGUCUGCAACUCGAGCGCAUGAAGCCGGAAUCGCUAGUAAUCGUGGAUCAGAAUGCCACGGUGAAUACGUUCUUAGGUCUU